AUUUCUACUUGUUUUUUCUUUUCUUGUUUUUGUUUGUUUGUUUUGUCUUGUUUUGUUUUAUCCAACUGUAGGUACUCCAGAGGCUGGUGGACCUGAGCGGAGGCUGGGACGCCCUGGUGGGCCCCGGGCCCUGGAAGGCAGGUCCCGGUGGCUGGUGGCCCAGAAUGAGGCCAGCUCCCAGCAUGCCCUGCAGCCGGACACCAGCCACUCGGCCUGCAGCAACGGUGGUAAUAACCCAGUCAUUCUUCAGGCAUCCAGCAAGGAGCCUGGGAGUGGGACCAUGCAGAGCAGCCCCUCCCCUGCUCAUCCUCAGCUCCCAAUCCUACAGACACAGGUUUGAAAGUGGGAAAGGAUCCUUUGAUUAUUUUCUGUGAACUCACUCAUGGCUUUGAGAUAGAAGUGGUGUUGCAGGCCUGAAUACCCACACAAAUAGCUGAGUUUGAACUCUCUCAAAUAGAUAGGGGUAUAAUAUAUGUGAAGCCUAAAUUUUUCUUUUUUAAUUUGGUUUUCUAAGACAAGAGUUUU
rnacentral:lncRNA from 1 species